rnacentral:misc_RNA from 1 species
AGCAACUUAAUGCUUGUGUUACACGUAACAGCCGACUGUUAUAACUAUAUUUCUUUGAUAAAUAUACAUAGAAAUAAUACAUAUCUAUAAUAUAUAUAAAAGCGAAAGGUCACUCACUCAUCACGAAAUCUCCGAAACUAUAACACCUACAAACUUGAAAUUUGGCAGGUAGGCUCCUUACAGGGCGUAGACAUCCGUUAAG